rnacentral:rRNA from 1 species
GACGAACGCUGGCGGCGUGCUUAACACAUGCAAGUCGAACGAUGAAGAAAAGAAUUGAAGCUUCGGCAGAAAUUCAUUUCGGAUUAGUGGCAGACGGGUGAGUAACGCGUGAGCAACCUACCUCUUACAAAGGGAUAGCCUCGGGAAACCGGGAUUAAUACCAUAUAACAUUGCGACGAAGCAUUUCGAUGCAAUCAAAGCUACGGCGGUAAGAGAUGGGCUCGCGUCCCAUUAACCAGAUGGUGAGGUAACGGCUCACCAUAGUAACGAUGGGUAACCGGCCUGAGAGGGUGAACGGUCACACUGGAACUGAGACACGGUCCAGACUCCUACGGGAGGCAGCAGUGGGGAAUAUUGCACAAUGGAGGGAACUCUGAUGCAGCGACGCCGCGUGAGUGAUGAAGGAAUUCGUUUCGUAAAACUCUGUUCUAUGGGAAGAAAAGGACUGUACCAAAGGAGAAAGCGCCGGCUAAAUACGUG